AUUGAACGCUGGCGGCAGGACUAACACAUGCAAGUCGAACGAUUGGCGGACGGGUGAGUAAUGUCUGGUAAACUGCCUGAUUGAGGGGGAUAACUACUGGAAACGGUAUCUAAUACCGCAUACCAUCGGAUGUACCCAGAUGGGAUUAGCUAGUAGGUGGGGUAAAGGCUCACCUAGGCGACGAUCCCUAGCUGGUCUGAGAGGAUGACCAGCAAAACUGAAACUGCGACACGGUCCAGAGUCCUACGGGAGGGAGCAGUGGGAAAUAUUGCACAAGGGGCGCAAGCCGGAUGCAGCCAUGCCGCGUGUAUGAAGAAGGCCUUCGGGGUGUAAAGGACUUUCAGCGGGGAGGCGUUACCCGCAGAAGAAGCACAGGCUAACGCCGUGCCAGCAGCCGCGGUAAUUC
rnacentral:rRNA from 1 species